GGGCAGUGUAUCUCUGAGCGAUGGAAAUGCGACAAUGACAAUGAUUGUGGUGAUGGCAGUGAUGAGCUGGAAAGUGUGUGUGCUUUCCAUACUUGUCAGCCAACAGCUUUCACCUGUGGUAAUGGGCGAUGUGUACCCUAUCAUUACCGCUGUGAUCACUACAAUGACUGUGGAGAUAACAGUGAUGAGGUUGGCUGCUUGUUCCGAACUUGUGACUCCCACACAGAAUUUACUUGCAAUAAUGGAAGGUGUAUAUCUCUUCAGUAUGUCUGCAACGGAGUAAACAACUGUUACGAUAAUGGCACAUCAGAUGAGAGAAAUUGCCCGGAGCGCACUUGCCAGUCUGGUUUUACAAAAUGUCAAAGCACAAAUAUUUGCAUUCCUCGAACAUAUUUGUGUGAUGGUGAUAACGACUGUGGAGAUAUGAGUGAUGAGAGCCCUACUCACUGUG